rnacentral:tRNA from 1 species
AGGCGCUUAGGUUAAUGCCAGACCAAGAGCCUUCAAAGCUCUAAGCGAGGGUUAAAAUCCCCCAGCACCUG